AUUUACACAUCAAUACCAUCCAUGUAAAUUAGAUAAGGUAAAAAAAAAAUCAAUAACUAUUGUAUCUGUGCUUUAUAUUUUAUCAUCAUGAAAGCGUGGUCAACAACUCUCAAAAACAAGCACGAUAAUAAACAAAAAAAAAUAAAAAUAAAAAAUGAGGAGGAAAAAUAGAAGCACAACAGAAGAAAUAACAGACUGCUGUGCUCCCUCAGGGAGAUAUUGUAUAAGAAAAAACAAGUAAGGUUUGAUUGAU
rnacentral:rRNA from 14 species